UUUAAAUUCUGUUUUCUUAGAAAAGAUCUGCAGUUGACCAAGACAGGCUCCAAAAAGAAAAGCAAAAUUUAUCAAGAGCUUUCAGCUUAUAUGGAAUGAACCUAAAAUACAUUGAAAGAUUCUUCUGAGUGGGUGUUGUGGAGAAAACACUGGAAAUCACAGAAAGAAAAUGAAAUGAUUGGGAUAUCUCCUGGUAUCAGAAAUCUGAUGAGUGUCUGGAACCUGCUCUUCCAAAGCCCAUAACCUACAGCAGCUGCAAGUUUCUCUGAGUCAGGUGCUCUCCACAUCCCUGAGCCACCUUCAGCAAGAAACGCUUUAUUUUAGCUCUUCGUUGAAAAUUCUAUCUAAACACUUUCGCUUUAAGAUGUAUUUUUUUGGUAAAAUAUUUCCUGGAAGAGAAAUUUGGAAUACAAGCACAUAUGGCCUGCUUAGGAUCUGAUUUCAGCGUUGCUCAGAGCAAGAAGAGAGGCAGAGCAGGAUGAGAGAAAUUU
rnacentral:lncRNA from 1 species